UACAGAGGUCUCAAGCGUUUGUUCGGACUCAUUGGGCGUAAAGGGUGCGUAGGCGGCGCGGUAAGUCGGGUGUGAAAUCUCGGAGCUUAACUCCGAAACUGCAUUCGAUACUGCCGUGCUUGAGGACUGGAGAGGAGACUGGAAUUUACGGUGUAGCGGUGAAAUGCGUAGAUAUCGUAAGGAAGACCAGUGGCGAAGGCGGGGUCUCUGGACAGUUCCUGACGCUGAGGCACGAAGGUCAGGGGAGCAAACGGG
rnacentral:rRNA from 1 species